CUGAACUGAAAUCAACACAGACUGU
rnacentral:piRNA from 1 species